GAUGAACGCUGGCGGCGUGCCUAAUACAUGCAAGUCGAGCGAACAGACGAGGAGCUUGCUCCUUUGACGUUAGCGGCGGACGGGUGAGUAACACGUAGGUAACCUACCUAUAAGACUGGGAUAACUUCGGGAAACCGGAGCUAAUACCGGAUAAUAUUUCGAACCGCAUGGUUCGAUGGUGAAAGAUGGCUUUGCUAUCACUUAUAGAUGGACCUGCGCCGUAUUAGCUAGUUGGUAAGGUAACGGCUUACCAAGGCAACGAUACGUAGCCGACCUGAGAGGGUGAUCGGCCACACUGGAACUGAGACACGGUCCAGACUCCUACGGGAGGCAGCAGUAGGGAAUCUUCCGCAAGGGGCGAAAGCCUGACGGAGCAACGCCGCGUGAGUGAUGAAGGUCUUCGGAUCGUAAAACUCUGUUAUUAGGGAAGAACAAACGUGUAAGUAACUGUGCACGUCUUGACGGUACCUAAUCAGAAAGCCACGGCUAACUACGUG
rnacentral:rRNA from 1 species